rnacentral:rRNA from 1 species
CAAUAGCGUAUAUUAAAGUUGUUGCAGUUAAAAAGCUCGUAGUUGGAUUUGUGGCGUACGGUGUGUUCCGGGCACUUGUUGCCUGAGUAACCUGCUGUUGCCAUCCUUGGGUGGAACCUGUGUGGCAUUAGGUUGUCGUGCAGGGGAUGCCCAUCAUUUACUGUGAAAAAAUUAGAGUGUUCAAAGCAGGCUUAUGCCGUUGAAUAUAUUAGCAUGGAAUAAUGAGAUAGGACUUUUUUGCUAUUUUGUUGGUUUGCGCAAAGAGGUAAUGAUUAAUAGGGACAGUUGGGGGUAUUCGUAUUCCAUUGUCGGAGGUGAAAUUCUUGGAUUUUUGGAAGACGAACUACUGCGAAAGCAUUUACCAAGGAUGUUUUCAUUAA